CAGCCCCGCCCGCCCCCCAGCCCGCCGCGCGCAGCCGCCUCCCCCGGACGCCAGGGCGUGUGCGGGGCUCGCGGGCUCCUGCGCUCCGGGGCUGUGCUUUUCUGUACCGCGAGUGUUCUGGUUGUGAAUUCAUCCAGGGUCCAGGAUGACGAUCCGACACCAAGGCCAGCAGUACAGGCCGAGGAUGGCAUUUCUCCAGAAGGUGAGCGCGGUCCCAUCCCCUGGGCCCUGGGAGGUGCGCAGGGACCCAACUCUGGGAAGUGUCCGAGGAGAUGCUGGGGAUGCUCGGAGCGUGUGGGCAGGAGUGGAGGAGUGAGGGCAUCCCCUGUGGUCCACUAGUGCUGCUCGAUGUUUUGUGAUAAUAUCUAUUGAGGUUUCCAGGCUGCCUCUUGGUCCUGAAGAAUCGGCAUUGCUUGGGCAGAAUGUCGGAGGGUGAAGAGCCUGGUACCCGGUGCAGAGGUGCACGGGCUGCAGUUAGCUGGGUCCACUCCAGCUCUGAGCCACGUAAGGUAAGGAAACUGAGGCUAGUGAGGGCCAACCGUGGAAGAACUGUGGGUGUGAUACGGCGAAGCUGGGCCCACCACAAUGGUGGAAACAUAGAGGACAGCAUGCAGUGGGAAGGAGCUUCCAUUUCUACGCUUCUGCAUGAGGAGGAGGGAAGGCACCUGGAGGAGAGCCUUGAAGCUGAGAUUGAAGGAUGCCGGUCUUCUGCCGGGUGAGGAAAGGUGGAAGGAGGACCCAGGCCAUGGAGGGGCGUGUGCCAGAGGGAUGUGCAGGUCUGGUGCGUCUGAGGCAAGCCGUUCGCUGUUGCUGAGCUUAUUAUAUAAGAGGAGUGUGUGGCCGGACAGGCAGGCAAACUGCCUUCAAAGGUCAUCUGAUUUUUCCCCAAAGAAGCCACUGAGGAAUUUCGAGCAGCUCCAGCUGCCUAGGAGAUGACAGGCUUGUCACAGGGCCGGGGAGAGAGGUGCUGGUCAGAAGGUCAAAAGGGUCCUUCUCUCUCGUGUGGCUCUGAUGCCUCUGUCUCAGGCCCACUGCAACCCCUGGUAGACAGGCCCACCAGCCACACUGCCACCGUCUCUGAUUUCUGUUGCAAGGCUUGGUGACUGGCACCCUGCCAGGGAGGGGUCCUGGGCUUGUUUAAGAUGUGGCAGAGGGGGCGGCUCAGUGGUGUAGUGGUUAAGUUUGCGUGCUCUGCUUUGGCAGCCUGGG